rnacentral:rRNA from 1 species
UAGGGAAUCUUCGGCAAUGGACGAAAGUCUGACCGAGCAACGCCGCGUGAGUGAAGAAGGUUUUCGGAUCGUAAAACUCUGUUGUUAGAGAAGAACAAGGACGUUAGUAACUGAACGUCCCCUGACGGUAUCUAACCAGAAAGCCACGGCUAACUACGUGCCAGCAGCCGCGGUAAUACGUAGGUGGCAAGCGUUGUCCGGAUUUAUUGGGCGUAAAGCGAGCGCAGGCGGUUUCUUAAGUCUGAUGUGAAAGCCCCCGGCUCAACCGGGGAGGGUCAUUGGCAACUGGGAGUCUUGAGUGCAGAAGAGGAGAUUGGAAUUCCAUGUGUAGCGGUGAAAUGCGUAGAUAUUUGGAGGAACACCAGUGGCGAAGGCGGCUCUCUGGUCUGUAACUGACGCUGAGGCUCGAAAGCGUGGGGAGCAAACAGG